GAUGAACGCUAGCGGGAGGCCUAACACAUGCAAGCCGAGCGGUAGAGAUUCUUCGGAAUCUUGAGAGCGGCGUACGGGUGCGGAACACGUGUGCAACCUACCUUUAUCUGGAGGAUAGCCUUUCGAAAGGAGAUUAAUACUCCAUAAUAUAUUGAUUGGCAUCAAUUGAUAUUGAAAGCUCCGGCGGAUAGAGAUGGGCACGCGCAAGAUUAGUUAGUUGGUGAGGUAACGGCUCACCAAGACGAUGAUCUUUAGGGGGCCUGAGAGGUGAUCCCCACACUGGUACUGAGACACGGACCAGACUCCUACGGGAGGCAGCAGUGAGGAAUAUUGGGUCAAUGGGUGCAAGCCUGAACCAGCCAUCCCGCGUUGAAGGACGACUGCCCUAU
rnacentral:rRNA from 1 species